CUGGGUUGGCGGUGUACAAUGAAGUAGUAGAUGCUGACCUGAACAGCGAACCAUUCUUCCACGUCUCUGCGGUUGUUGGCCAGCACUGUUUCAUACUGACAACGCAUCUCAUCCAGGACCCUGUUGAGGUCAAUGGUGGGGGCAGUGUCCAGCUCCACACUGAGUCGGUCACCGAGCUGUCCCCGGAGCAAGCUGACUGCCUGAAAGAGGAAAUGGAGUAAAGAAAGCCACAGAGGGCUGGAGAAGAAAAUUCACUUUGACAUCCCAAGGGCAUCCUGUUUCUGGAGAAGCAAAGGAGAUCGUCCUUCAGAGACUCCACAUGGGCCUCCAGGUCAGCUUUGCACAGAGUCAGCUCACCCAGGAUCCCCCGCAGGCCGCCAAUGUCUGUCUCUACCAGCUGGUGAAGAGACAGUUCAGACUCGUACCUUUC